UAAAUUAUCUUUCUGAUGUUC
rnacentral:piRNA from 1 species